GUUUAAGAGUGUGCCUAAGUAAAUAUAUACAUAUAUAUAUAUAUAUAUAUUCAUGGAUAUACAUGUGCGUGUAUCUGAGUGUACCUAAAUCAGAAAUAGGCAGUAUGUAGUGAGACACACAACCAAAGAUCAAGCUCAAUAGUGGGCCCACACUCCACUCUAGUAUUCACAGUAAUAUGACAUGGGGCAUCAACCUCAGGGUAACAAUGAGUGCGAUUUUCACCUAUCGCAGGGGGUUUUGGAAUGUAACACCCACGAUAGGAGAGGGAUUACAACUGAAACCUUCAUAUUGUCCACCUGCAUAUUUUAGAAAAUAACACAACUUCAAUUAUUACUACUCCAGUAUGUAUGACAGUUAUGCUUUGAUAAUGUGGUCAGAAUAAAAACAAACAAAUCUGGA